rnacentral:rRNA from 1 species
AGUGAACGCCGGCGGCGUGCCUAAUACACGCAAGUCGAACGGAGUGGCGCACGGGUGCGUAAUGUAUAGCUAAUCUGCCCUACACUAGAGGACAACAGUUGGAAACGACUGCUAAUACUCUAUAGUGUAGGAUGAGGCCAUAUUGUAUCAGCUAGUUGGUGAGGUAAUGGCUCACCAAGGCUAUGACGCAUAACUGGUCUGAGAGGAGGAUCAGUCACGCUGGAAAAGAGACACGGUCCAGACACCUACGGGAGGCAGCAGUGGGGAAUAUUGCUCAAUGGGGGAAACCCUGAAGCAGCGACGCCGCAUGGAGGAUGACACUUUUCGGGGCGAAAACGCCUUUUGUUCGGGAAGCAGUACCUAACAAAUAGACACCGGCUAACUCCGUGCCAGCAGCCGCGGUAAUAC